rnacentral:rRNA from 1 species
GACGGAGGAUGCAAGCGUUAUCCGGAAUGAUUGGGCGUAAAGCGUCCGCAGGUGGCAGUUCAAGUCUGCUGUCAAAGACCGGGGCUUAACUUCGGAAAGGCAGUGGAAACUGAACAGCUAGAGUAUGGUAGGGGCAGAGGGAAUUCCUGGUGUAGCGGUGAAAUGCGUAGAGAUCAGGAAGAACAGCCGGUGGCGAAGGCGGGACUCUGGGCCGAUACUGACGCUGAGGAGCGAAAGCGUGGGGAGCGAUCCGG